AUUUGUAUGAUAAAUAUAAAUGUCUUUUCCAGGGUUAUGGAUGUAUAUUAAAUAUAUGUAUGUGUAUAAUAAAAAUCUUACAUUUAUUUCCGUUAUCUGGUACCUGUAACACAAGUUCUUUACGAACUUAUCACGGGAACAGUUAACGUGGCGUGAUUGUUUAAAAAAAAAAAGGCUUUUUUUUUUUUAAAUUACUGUAUUGUCACUAUGACGAAAAUAUAUUGAUGUUUUACAAACCUGGUUAUAUGAAAAUGAUUGAACUUAGAGACAUUUUUGGCGAUCUAUUAAAUAAUAUAUAAAGAAAAGUACCUACUUUGAAUCUCAUAAUACCUAAACUAGUCGCUGAGCCCGCGGUAUUUGCGUAUCGGUUUUUUUUCUAGUCAUUUCUAUUCUAUUUUUUUACCGUGUUUUGAUCAGUACACUCAAUAAAUGGCUACUGGUAGCUGAGAACUGUCUGUAUAUGCAAAAUACAAUAUGAGAGUAAUUUUUUUCAGAGUCCACCGAGAAGUGAUGUUCAACCAACCAAUCGGCCAAUAUUGCCCAUUGAAAAUUUGUUUGACGACGAGAGUGAUGAAGAGAUUUUCCCAACAAAUAAACGUCAAAAAACAUAUUUUUCUACUGAACCAAAUAUAACUGAAAAAAUCGUACCUUUACAAGAAUUUAGCUCACAACAAGAAUGUGUCAUUGAUAAACAACAGUCUCACGCUUCAAUUUACUGGAUUGUGAUAUAUCACUUAGUGAGGACCACAUUCAACAAUUACUUCGUACUCCGACACAAAAAAGACCGAGAGAAAAUGUUACAUCCGAAUGUACAUAUUCCAAAGACUGUAAUCCGUCCAAAUCUAAAAAAAGUAAUGAAAUAGAGGUCUCUGUAAUUAUAGAAAGUAUUCCUGAUGACAAUGUUAAAGGAAAACGAGAUAUGAAUAACAAAUUGCCAACUGUUCUAAAAUCAUCUGAUAUUCUCGAAUAUGAUAUUAUUGAACAUAUAGACUGCGAAAACAAUAAUAUAAUACAAACAAACGAAAUACGUCACAGUGUGCAGAAUAUUCGAAAAUCUCCUGAGUUGGAUGAGAGUAAUAAUAUGGAAGAUGAUAAUUUUAGCGGUACUGACAAUGAUUAUAGUCCUUCGGAGGAAGAGUCUAGUGAUCCGGAAGAGUAUGAUUCAAUGGAAAAUUGCGUUCAUUCAGAUCAGGAUUUAUCUCCAAAUAGUGAAAAUUAAGAAGCUACAGAAGAUGAAAUUUUAGUCACGGAAGAAACAUUACCCGGUAAGCAAGAAAUAUUACCCGGCACGCAAGCUAAAGAUCACGAUGAGUGGGAAAAUAUAUCGGAAAGUCCCAUAAUUUUUAAUGAAUUCCAUGGAGAAUGUACUUUUAAUUUACCCCCGUUUGUGGGAGUUACACCUGAAGAUAUAUACAAGAUGUUUGUUACAAAUGAGAUAAUUGAUAUAAUGGUAUAUGAAACAAAUGCUUACGCACAAAAGUAUAUACAAAUAAAUCAACAAAAUAUGAAACGUAAUUCACGCAUGACAAAAUGGAGUGACACCAGUUCUCAGGAAAUGAGAACAUUUUUGCCUGUUUUGUUGUGUGUUGAGCAGAAACAAAUUGUAUCGAAACGAAUUUAUUUCUUCAGUAAUGACAAGAGACAGAUUUUUACUGCUACUUAAAUGCUGGCAUGUCAGUGAUGUAAGUAAUGAAGACAAAACUGACAAACUGUAUAAAAUUAGAGAUAUGUUCACAAAGAUUACAGAAAAUUUUCGACGUAUUGCAAAACCUGGUAAGUAUGUGGUAAUCGAUGAAACCAUGAUACCAUGAAGAGGAAGACUAGGUUUUCGCCAAUAUACAAAAAACAAAUCACACCGGUACGGCGUAAAGCUUUAUAAGCUUUGCACUCCCGAGGUUAUACUUAUGAGUUAGAGUUUUAUACAGGGAAAAAAAUCAGAAAAAAUAAUUAGAACACAGUAAAAAAGUAGUGUUAAGAUUGAUGACAAAUCUAACAGAAAUGGGAAGAAUCGUAAUAGUAGACAAUCACUACACUUCGUUAGGGCUGGCAGAAGAUCUUCUAUCACAAAAAACAUUUAUAUGCGAAACACUUACUAAAAUACGGAAAUAUCUGCCAAAGUUACUAGUUACAAAUUGCAGAAAGGCGAAAUUAUUGGAAAAAUGAACAAAAAGGGCCCAAAGGUAAUGAAAUGGAUGGAUAAACGGAAUGUUUUAAUGUUGACGACGUGCAAAGAUCACGAUGAUAACCUGAUAGAUACUGGAAAAAAGAAGAGAGGAACCGAUGAAUGCAUAAAAAAACCAGGAUGUGUUCUGCUGUACAGUAAAACAAAAAAAGGCAUUGACUUUUCUGACCAGAUGUCAUUUUAUUAUACAACGUUGAAGAGAGGAAUCAAAUGUUGGAGAAAAGUUGUAAUGGAGCUAAUAUUUGGUACAGCGCUAAUUAAUGCCUGGAUUGUGUUUAAUUCAAUCCAAACUGAUGAAAAAAAGUUACCGAAAAGACUUUUUGUGGAGAAACUUAUAGAAUCUUUUAUAAAAAAGGAAAUCGAUGAGAUCCCAGCACCUGAAAGCAGCGCACGUCAUUACCUUGAAAAGGGUGAAAAAAGAAGAAGAUGUGUUGGUUGUUACCAGAAACUACGCACAUUUUUACCAUCUCGUGAAGCUGACAAAAAAUCCAAAAAGAUUUUGACUCUGUGCUCUCAGUGCAAAAAAUCUUAUUGUCUACCCUGUUUCAAUGAAAAACACUCAUAAAUAAGUACAAAAUAUAUAUUGAGAUUUUUUAUAAAAAAGUAUAUUGUUACUGAUUUUUUUAUGUCAAUUCAAGUUCUAAUAAGUGUAUUUUUAAAGCCCGAGGCAGAAUAAAUAGGAUAGUUUCUUUUCUACUUCUGGUUUUCUUUUUUUUCUAUUCUGUGAACCGCAUUAAGACUUUUAUACAAAAAUAAAUAGACGAUAGAUAGAGAUAAACGACGUUGCGUCGAUAUUAUUUUUGUCAUCACUAAUCUUAGCGAAAAUUUACCCUAUUUCAGUGCGUUACGAGGUGUAUAAGAUCCUAUAUAUUGUUUUGCCAAUAAUUAAUAAACUAGCUAUCAGAUCCCGGGGCGACGGUACAUUAGGGUUCAUCAAUUCACUGUCUAUAUCGAUAAGGACCGAAAUUUUCAUUUAUCUUUGAUUUCACGCCAGAAAAUGGAUUUUAGUCUGUUAAAGGAGGUGGGGUCUAAUAGACCGCGUGUCGCCCUAACGUCUGGUCACGGUGCGGGCCGAUAAUACCUCGUGCCGCAAGAACGGAAAGUUUGCAAAAAUUGGUGCCGCAACUAACGUGUUAAGGAUUUCCCUAGUGUAGCUCAAAUAGCUUCGUCGUUGCAUAUACUUAUUCGGUGAUAUAAGACCGGACUUAUAAAUGAAAUAAUAGGAGACAUCUAAGACAAAAUAUGGCAGCACAUGGCAAGCUUAAAACACAAAGUAAUAAUAUUAUUUCAAACACAUUAUUAACGGAAUGUGGUGAUUUAUGCGGCUGACAAAAUUACACAAAUAAAAAAGACAUGCACAAUUAUACUUAACGGUAAUUAAAUGAACAGAUAUAAAAUAAUCCAGAAUAAGAAAGUCACAUUUCAUCAAUUGUAUCUUAAACCAAUUAUGCGAGUAUCGACGCAAAAUUAUUGCAAAAGAUUUUUUUAUAUUAAGUAAAUACUUUGAAAAUAUUGCCAACGUGAGAUAAUUUUUACAAAUUCUAUUUGACUUGUAUACUUCGAUCAACAAUACUCGUAGUAACUAUGUAGUUAAUCACUAGCUAGUAUGUAGUAGCUACUAUUGUUGAUCAAAAGCUUGUAUACGUUAUAUGACGGAUUUGUCAGAAGUGCCACAGCUGCCUGCUGUGGGAACAGUUAUUAUAGCCAUUAAAGUAUAUCACACGAAACCCACUUGAUAGACACAGUCCAAUUGAGUUUCUCACCGGAUCUUCACAGCGGGUUGCGUUUCCGAUCCGGUGGUAGAUUCUGCGAAGCACUGCUCUUGCUAGGGCCAGUGUUAGCAACACUCCGGUUUUAGCCCCGUGAGCUCACCUACAUGUUAGAGCGAAGCUGAAAUAGCCUCUCAAGGCUAUCAGCAUAGGUAGGGAAAAAAAAGAUGACACAACUAAAAAUGCCUGAACAAUAUUUGUUAUCACACAUACCAUACGUGUUCAUGAAAAGGCUUAUAAAAAUAUUGAUUUAAUAAAAAAAGAAGAGCUUGAAAACUUAAUGAGCAAUUAUUUAUUUAUUUAUUUAUUUAGACACACCAACAGCAAUACACACAAAACAUUCAAGCUUAAAAUUAACAUGUAUAAAAUUAAGUCCUGGUAUGUAAGCCAGUUACAGGCAUGUACAGCAAUCUCUUAUAAGAACACACUAUGACAUGUUACAGCAAUUUUACAAACAGCGGAAAAAUAGGCUAAAUUUAAAUGUUAACAGUACGACAAAAAAGUAUAUUUGAAAACAACAUGAAAACAAGAGCUAACUACACACACUACUAACUUCACAGAUUACUAAAUAAAAAAAAUAAAAAAGUCGAGCGCGGAAGAAUUAAUUAUUUAUACAAAAAUAUUUCUUACAGCACUCGAAAAGAUAAAGCUUACGAACGGAAAAACGUAUAUUUACUACAAUUACUAUACGUAUAGUUACGCGAGGAACAUGCGUUCAAGCCUAACGGAACGCUGGAGGUGUACCGUUGGAUGUAAGGCAUACAUCAUAGUAUCAACGUCAGGGUACCUAGUGAAAGCCGUUAACGACCACAAUCAUGCUCCAGCAACGUACCGUAAAAGUAAUAAUGGAACCUACGUUAGAAUUAAUUAUUGACGCCAUUAUCUUCUUAGUUUAUUUAGUGGUACCAUAGAUGUGGACCCCACAUAUCGACAGGCUAUUUGGUUUAAGCGAUAUUUUUGCAACUUUAAAGGAGAGCCAUUUAAAGUUCUAAAUUUGGAAAAAAAGUACAUAACAAAGAAACUUCUUCAGCUGUUUCAUAGAAGUAAACUCAAUUGAAGUUCAAUUAAAAACAUCGAAUUGUUGAUGGUAAUACCAAAUAAAACGCACCUUUAAUUACAAUGAUAAAUACGCGACGUAUUAGACGAAAUGUUGCUUAAACGAAAUAGCCUUUUAUCCCUCGAUAUAAUGAAGAGUACUCCGCUAAACCGUGCCACUAAGGUUGCCUGUCCACCGGAGCAGAGCAACCGAGUAAGGCGGGGAGGAGUUGCGUACUGUGUCUGUCCACCGGAGCGGAGCGAAGCUGCGGAGCGGAGCGAGAAAGUAAUGCGGAGCGGAGUUAAUACCUACGCGACGAGUCAGUUCACACUGCGGGCGCACCUUGCACCCAGAGGAGAUUUUGUGCAAUCUUAUUGGUUAAUAUUUCUCCGUUUCUCUGCUCCGCUCCGGUGGACAGGCACCCUAAAUAGCUUGUAAUUAGACUCGAAAACUAUUCUCAGACCCCUCUAAAAGUAAUGUAUCUAUUAUGUGUUUUUUUGCAAUAACAAGGACUUUCGUAAUUGGAAAUUUUCUUCUAUGUGAUUCGGUCGCUCAUAGAUUAGAAACAGUAAAUCGCAUAACUAAUAAAUACAUUUUUGAUCUUGUUUUAUUAAAUCAUAAAUUUUUUCGUUGUUAAAUUACAUAAUUUUACCGCACCUUACAGUUAGUUUGCUAAAGAUCGUGUUUGACACAAACCCAACUUAGGCAUUUUUUGCCUUUCCAUCGGGAUGCAAAAUGCUCAAUUUAAUUGAGAUCGUAUUUAUUGCUACCAAAUGAACUGAACUUGACUAAUGGUGUCUCUCUUUAAGCGAGCCUUAAGAAUAACCUAGCAACCUGUUGUAAAUACAAAAAAAAAAAAAUUUAAUGGAAAAACAAAAUAAAAGGUACAGAGAAAGAAAAAGUUACUCUAAGGGCGAAUCACCUCUUAGAAUAUAAGACAUGUAGAUGAAAGAGCGUUAAUAUUUUAUUUAUUAUACAAAACAAUCUGUAAUAUAUAUUUAUAUAAUUUGUAUAUGUAUAAGGAUAAACAUUGGAUUCAUUUAUAGUAUUGUCUUGUCUUUAUUGGUAACUUUUUAAAAAUAAAAUUAAACGAAGUUUUCAUUUU